rnacentral:misc_RNA from 1 species
UUUCCGUAGGUGAACCUGCGGAAGGAUCAUUAUUGUAUAACCGAGGUGCGAGGGCUGUCGCUGACCCGAAAGGUCGUGCACGCCCGAGUGCCCUCACACACAUCCAUCUCACCCCUAUGUGCACCACCGCGUGGGUCCCCCUUUGGCUUGUUCGGAGGGGGGCUUACGUUUUCACACAAACUUUGUAUGCAGUGUAGAAUGUAUUUUUUGUUUUUGCGAUCACGCAAUCAAUACAACUUUCAACAACGGAUCUCUUGGCUCCCGCAUCGAAACGCAGC